UUAAGUUCAGCGGGUAUCCCUACCUGAUCCGAGGUCAACCUUAGAAAAAUAGAUUUAACGGCGAAAGACUAUUCGUCAAACAACCAGAGCGAAAAAUGUUUCCACAACGCAAGGGUUUGAUAAAUACCAGCCGGAAGAAUUCGAGAUGUGCAGGCCUUUUAUUGCUAAAAGAUCCACAGACAUCCAAUACCAAGCUAGGC
rnacentral:misc_RNA from 1 species